GGGGAAUGUAGUAUUAAACUAUUAAAUAUAAAUUAAAAAAAAUUACUAACAUUAACAAAUGGGCAUUUGGUCUAGUGGCAUGAUUCUCGCUUUGGGUGCGAGAGGUCCCGAGUUCAAUUCUCGGAAUGCCCCAUUUUAUUUUUGAUAUGCAAAUAUUGAGAUAAAAUCUGGCUGGCUGUAUCUGUCCUGAGAAUUAUAAGUUCCAGCUCUUUCCUGUUCUGUUUCAAAUCAGGCCCUAAAGUCAACUGCAUAAAUACAAGUCUCUACUCCAAUGUCCCAACUUGUUUCUUGUCUGCCUGAACAAUUUUGGCAAGCUCAGCAUCAUACCUGUAUCUGUCUUCAUUCAUCAAGAAAAAUAAAUGCAAUUUACUUGAACCCUGCAAAAUAGUACAAAUAUUAAGAGCAAGUUCACAAACAAAAUGGCAAUAAAAGAAGCG
rnacentral:tRNA from 1 species